AGGCAGCAGUAAGGAAUAUUGCACAAUGGGCGCAAGCCUGAUGCAGCGACGCCGCGUGAGGGAUGACGGCCUUCGGGUUGUAAACCUCUUUCAGCAGGGAAGAAGCGCAAGUGACGGUACCUGCAGAAGAAGCGCCGGCUAACUACGUGCCAGCAGCCGCGGUAAUACGUAGGGCGCAAGCGUUGUCCGGAAUUAUUGGGCGUAAAGAGCUCGUAGGCGGUUUGUCGCGUCUGCUGUGAAAACGCGAGGCUCAACCUCGCGCCUGCAGUGGGUACGGGCAGACUAGAGUGCGGUAGGGGAGACUGGAAUUCCUGGUGUAGCGGUGGAAUGCGCAGAUAUCAGGAGGAACACCGGUGGCGAAGGCGGGUCUCUGGGCCGUAACUGACGCUGAGGAGCGAAAGCAUGGGGAGCGAACAGGAUUAGAUACCCCGGUAG
rnacentral:rRNA from 1 species